rnacentral:rRNA from 1 species
CAGAAAAAAAUAGGAGAGGAAAAAAAUCCUAGAGAAGCAAAAGUAACUUUCGAAGGUUUAGUUACGGAAGCCCUACCCAAUGGAAUGUUCCGCGUUCGGCUAGAGAAUGACACCAUCAUCCUAGGCUAUAUUUCAUGAAAGAUACGGUCUAGUUCUAUAUGAAUACUGAUGGGGUAUAGGGUCAAAAUUGAAGUAAUUAGUUAUGAUUCAAGCAAGGGACGUAUAAUUCAUAGACUUCCCCAUAAGGAUUCGAAGCGUAUCGAAGACACGAAGGAUAGCAAAGAUUUGAAGGAUAUGUAG